UAGAGAGCAGGAGAGGGAAGAAGGAAAUUAAUUAGGCAUUUCCCCCGAUUCUUUCACCUCUUAUAAGGCCUUCACCACUCUGAAGAUACA